GGCCUUCAACAGGUGCCACGACCAAAUCCAAAUCCCCCAAACCUAAAUCCUCUCACGCACUCCCUCCGCCGCCGCCCGCUAGCUAGCAGCCCGCACGCCGCCGACCACCCGCCGUCUCCAGCACGCCGUCACCUGUCUCCACCCUCCUGCAACCCCACUGCUUAGGCCCCGAACACUUCUAACCCUAGCUUGUGCGCUGGAGUUCGGGGAGAGGCCAAGGCGCGGUGGUGGACGCCGCCAUCCCUCUCAGAUCCGGUGCUGAGAGAGGGAGGGAGGGAGGGAGGGAGAGGUGGGUCACCUGCGAGAGAGAGAGCACUCGCACCCUCGCUCGUCUGUCGCCACCCAGGGGCCGCCACCACCGCCGCCACGCCAUGGGCUUCCUCCGAUCUGCGCUCGUCGGUUUGUUUGAAGAAGGAUCUGGCCGUUGACUGCUGGUGCUUCCCCUCCCCGGGCGAUCAGCCAUGACUUGGGAUAGUACUUCUAUCCAGCAAGCAGCGUUUUGGAUGUGAGCUCCAGCUCAAGCAGAGCAUCAAAAACAGGGGCUCUAUCUGCUAAUGGGGUAGCAGGCAAUGCAGUCUAAGAGCUACAUCUCGUGUGAUUUCUGGAUAUGAGAACUUGAGAAGAACAAGCUUGAUGCUAUUAUUGAAAAAAAUAAUCUAUGCUACAGGAUUCUUCUUUGCAUCCCAUACACUUAGACGGAGUGGGAGGCUGCUGCAGCGGUGCUGGACUCGGAGCCCAAGCCAUCCGACGCCGCCAACAGGUGCUGACAGUCGGAUGCCUUCAGAAUUGGCUCUUAAAACUUUCAACCAAGAUUAGAGCUAGCAUACAGUUUGCAGUUUAUAGUCGUACUCAUACUCAAUGAGUCCCUACCUCGGCUUCUGGGCAAGAUAUUCUUUAAUUUUAGAAGUUGCAGAAGUGUAAUGCUGACUCUACUCGAAUGAUGAUUAUCCCUACAUGCAUAACAUAUUAUAAAGAGAUCUUCCUACGUGCCCCUUUUUUGGUUAGCAACCACUAUUGUUCAGGAAUUUUUAGUGGCGCACAUCUUGGUCUGGCGAGCCGAUGACCGGACAUCACUUGUCAAGCUAUUCCAGUCGUCAAGCGCCUUGCCGCUUCACACGGCGUGCUGCAUCACACAGCACCGCGGCUUCACGCCGCCAUCGACAUCUCACCAUGCUCGCCGCAUCGCACUGCAGCCCGGAAGCAAAAAGGACUACACUCACAAGGAACCAUGAAGCCAACGAUCCACGUCAACUAGAUGUUUUAGCUUUCAUUUUGUACAACUGAUGUCUCAUACUUGCACCUUUUGACUGUCCUUUUGUAAACCUGAUGUAUGGUUCCUCGGUGGUUUUGUUUAGAACAGAUUGAAGUGUAUGUAUGUGCCAAUUAGUUAAUGGAAUAAAAAAUGUUUCGUGCUC